rfam:Candidatus Entotheonella sp. TSY2 genomic scaffold TSY2_scaffold00655, whole genome shotgun sequence.
GAGAGCCGGAUGCAGCGACAAGUUGCAUGUCCGGUUCGGAGGGGGUUUGACGCCUAACCUCAUGGGCUAGUCGCUUACUACCCUAC